rnacentral:tRNA from 1 species
GCUCUGAUAGCUUAAAUUAAAGCACCGGUCUUGUAAGCCGAAGAUUGUAGAUUAAACCCUACUCAGGACA